rnacentral:lncRNA from 1 species
UUGCCCAAGGUGACAAGCCAAGAGGGGGGGGUGAAUUGGUUUCUUUUAAUUUUAACUAUCUUACUUGUGUUAAAUGAUGAGUUAGUAAACUUAAACAAAUCACAAUACAAACAACAAGAAGUAUAGUGGUUCGGUGCUCUCCUUAGCACCUACGUCCACUCUCCAAGCGACCCCUUGGAAAUUCACUAUAAUCCCGCAGAUUACAGUUGGAUUGUUUUUCGGGCUCACAAUCCAAAAACCUUUACACUUUGGUUUUCCGGGUUCACCAAAAAUCUAUGUUGGUUUUACGGACUCACCAACGAACCUAUGUUGGUUUUUCGGGCUCACCAACGAACCUUUACAAUUGAUUUUCCGGGUUCACCAAUCAACCUAUUCCGUUGGUUUUGCGGGCUA